UUUCUCUCUUCCAUCCGCGCCGCCGCCAGGUGAGUCUAGCCUCCAGAUCCAUCGCCCCCAAGCCUUCCCGAGCAAGUCAGGGAGCAAUUCUCGUCGCCGGCGUGCCCUCCGGUGAGCCCAGGCGAGUCCAUAGAGUCCAAGGGCUUCGCCUUCCUCGUCUACGUCGACUACCUCCCUCGAAUCAAGCCGGAGCCAUCGUCAAGCGUCAUCCCCUUCGUCUUCUUCCCCCAGGGCAGCUGCUCGUCGCCGUUUGAAUUUGUCGCAUCUCCUCGUCCCCGAGCUCGAUCGACUCCCCUGAGCCCCUCUACGUGUGCAGCCAUGCUUCCCUGUACCUUUUCCCAGUCAAUUGCAUCAUCUGUCGCCGAUUUCUCGCAUGCCCGAUAGUUCCUCCACCACGACCACGUUGCCGGCCUCGUUCCGAUGACCUCUGGUUCGACCUUUUUCCAUAUUUGCACUCGCACCCUCGCGUUCACCUUCUAUGCCCUGUUAGUUACCUCUUUGGCGCACUGCAUGCUUGAAUUCAUCCACACCCAACGCACGUCUCCGCGGCCGCUCGUCGCCGGCGUCAUUUCCAUCAACGUCCGGAGAUGCAUGGCACGCGCGGAGGUGCGGAUUCACACGCUUAGCACAACCCGCACCCCCUUACAUCUUGAGAACGUCGGGAGGCAAUUCUGGUGAGGCCUCCGUACUUUGGUCACCGACGAGGUUGCUCUACUUCCUCUGUUUCUUCAGCACACACGCAACGCCUCAUCUGCAGCUCGCGUGCAUGCACCAGGGCCUGCCCAGCUUGUUGUUCGUCGUUGCUCUCUGCCCCGAGUCGAGCUCCUGCUCGUGCUCGAGCACAUGCACGCACAUGACUCCGGCAAGAAGCAGCCGCUCGCUCACAUGCUCCCUGAAAGUUUCCGCACCCACACAUGCACGCGAGUGCCCCGGCGUUGCUCCGUGGUUCAUGUAGCAGGCUAGCAGCACCCUCCACCUAUUUCUGCACCUCACCGCUUCUUUGUUGCUGCAGAGGCCGCUGCCUUUGGUCGCUGCAGUCGAUGCCGGUUGCCGCCAUGCAGCCAUGGCCAAGCUCGAUCUGCUCAAAGAUUGGUCAAAACACCUAGGGAGCUUUUUGUUUCACGAACGUAUAGCUAGCGCAUUGGUCAGCGGACUGAUAUCCAUCCAUGAGGUCGUGGGUUCGAAUCCCAGUCUCCCCCAAUUAAAAUUAUUUAUUUCAUAACUAAAUAACCGUAGGUCCGAAUUAAAUAAACUUUAUAUGUAAAUGGGGUAGAAAAAUGCAUAGGAUAACAUGGUGCAAUUUCUUUUGCUGUUUAAUAACUCUAAAAUAUGGUUUAGGCACAACAGUACCAAACUUGAAAUAUGCACAUGACGAUUUUCUGGACCUGUUAUAUGUUGUUUCCGGCCUCAUUUAUACUUUCUUGCAUGUGUUGUUCUUGUAUGCAUCAUCUCUUGCCAUGAGUAGUACCAUAUAGCCUUGUAAUGCAUCAUACUUGGUUGAGCAUCAUGCUAUGUUAUGUGUUGUGUGUUUACCAUGUUGUUUGCUUCUUUCCGGUUGUGCUUCUUCUCAUUAGUUCCUGUUUCGUUGCGAUCGUGAGGAUUCGUUCAUCUACGCUUGGUUCGUCUUCGUGGCUUCAUCUUCUUCAUGGACUCGUUCUUCUUGCUAGCGAGAUUUCAGGCAAGAUGACCAUUACCCUGGAUCUCACUACUAUCAUUGCUAUGUUAGUUGCUUCUUUCUAUCGCUAUGCUAUGCUACCUACCACUUGCUCUUCAAGCCUCCCAAAUUGCCAUGUCAGCCUCUAACCUUUUCAUCCUUCCUAGCAAACCAUUGCUUGGCUAUGUUACCGCUUUGCUCAGCCCCUCUUAUAGCGUUGUUAGUUGCAGGUGAAGUUGAAGAUUGCUCCAAGAUGGACAGGAUUAUGUUGGGAUAUCACAAUAUCUCUUAUUUAAUUAAUGCAUCUAUAUACUUGGUUAAGGGUGGAAGGCUCGGCCUUAUGCCUGGUGUUUUGUUCCACUCUUCCUGCCCUAGUUUCCGUCAUACCGGUGCUAUGUUCCUUCAUUUUGCCUUCCUUACGCGGUUGGGUGAUUUAUGGGACCCCCUUGCCAGUUUGCUUUGAAUAAAACUCCUCCAACAAGGCCCAACCUUGGUUUUGCCAUUUUCCUACCUAAGCCUUUUCCCUUGCGUUUCUGGAGCCCGAGGGUCAUCUUUAUUUAACCCCUUGGGCCAGUGCUCCUUCGAGUGUUGGUCCGAACCGAGCAGCCUGCGGGGCCACCUCGGGGAAACUUGAGGGCUGGUUUUACUCGCAGCUUGACUUAUCCGGUGUGCCCUGAGAACGAGGUACGUGCGACUCCUAUCGGGAUUUGUCGGCACGUCGGGCAGCUUUGCUGGUCUUGUUUUACCAUUGUCGAAAUGUCUUGUAAACCGGGGUUCCGAGACUGAUUGGGUCUUCCUGGGAGAAGGAAUAUUCUUUGUUGACUGUGAGAGCAUGUGAUGGGCUAAGUUGGGACACCCCUGCAGGGUAUAAACUUUCGAGAGCCGUGCCCGCGGUUACGUGGCAGAUGGGAAUUUGUUAAUAUCCGGUUGUAGAGAACUUGACACCAUAUUCGAAUUAAAACGCAUCAACCGCGUGUGUAGCCGUAAUGGUCUCUUUUUGGCGGAGUCCGGGAAGUGAACACGGUUUUGGGUUAUGGUUGACAUAAGUAGGAGUUCAGGAUCACUUCUUGAUCAUUGCUAGCUUCACGACCGUUCUGGUGCUUCUGUUCGCGCUCUUAUUUGCGAAUGUUAGCCACCAUACUUGCUUAGUCACUGCUGCAACCUCACCACUUAUCCUUUCCAUACCCAUUAAGCUUUGCUAGUCUUGAUACCCAUGGUAAUAGGAUUGUUGAGUCCUCGUGGCUCACAGAUUACUACAACAACAGUUGUAGGUACAGGUAAUGCGAUGAUCAUGACGCGAGAGCGAUGUUUGCUUGUUUUGGAGUUCUUCUUCUGCUUCUUCUUCGAUCAUGGGAUAGGUUCCAGGUCGGCAACUUGGGCUAGCAGGGUGGAUGUCAUUUGAGUUUCUGUUUGUGUUUCAUCUGUAGUCGGAUGGUGCUCUUAUGUAAGAUGAUGUUGUAUUCGUGUGGCAUUGUAUGCCUUUUGUAUGUAUCCCCAUCUAUUAUGUAAUAUUGAUGUAACGAUAUCCACGUUGCAAAAGCAUCUCCAAUAUGCGCUUCUAUCCUUAGUGGGACUUUCGAGUUCCUUUAGGAUAGGGUCGCAUAUUGGGCGUGACAAGUUGGUAUCAGAGCCUCGACCGACCGUAGUAGCCCCCCUUGUUUGAUCGUGUAGUCUGGCUGUUGUCGAGUCUACAAGAAAACUGUUUUCGGAGUCUAGUUAUAUCGGAGAGUAGGAAUUCUUUUUACUCCUCAUCCCCUUCGUCGCUCUCGUGAGGAAUCUUAACGUAGGUGUUUUGAGUUACUCCUCGUCCCCUUCAAAUUUUUUCUUUAGGUUCACGCAGUUGGUUUUUCUGAUCGUUGGUUCUCAGCUCUUUUCAUCCGGUGCAUUUCUCGUCAAGUUGACUCGAGCCUCUUCAUCGUUGCCAAGUUCAAUCCUCAGUUGUUUUCUUUUUCCCACCCGCCCACCCUUCUUCUUCUCAGAACCGGAGUCCGUGAUCGAGUAUCCAUCCUACUCGUGCGAAGUUUUUUGCAUUCUCCCCUCAAUCAUUUCAACCGGCGCUUCUCUAUUCAAUUAUUCGUCGUUCCAGUUGCAUGUGUUUUUCCCGCCCUCCCAUCCCUUUUCUUCCCAGAGUCUGAGCCUCUAUUUGAGAAGCUAUUUCAUUUGUGCGGAGCCUCUUCAGUCUUUCGUCAAUUGUUUCAACCGGUGAAUUCUCGUUCUGUUCAACAGUCCUCAUCUCCUUUUCUUGUCCGGUGGACUCAAUUCAAGUUUUUUGGUUGAUCACAUUCUUUUCCUUGGAUCAAGUGUUUUCCCUACUCAUUCGCCUCUCGCUAGUUUAUCCAUUCGGAGUGCUCAAGACAUCUCAGGAGAUUCGUUUGUGUUUGAAUUAAUUCGAGGUUGUCACCUCAUUUAAAUAUUUCAAUUGUUCCGGUGCAUCAUCUAUCUCUCCAACAAUCCCUUUCCAAUGGUGUUAUCUCUUCAGUGGGCCCUAACCCAUAGGUUUUUUUUCAGGAUCUUACCUGACUCUUCUAAUUUCCCGGAGCUAUUCUCAAAUCCUUUUCGAAGUUUGAUGUAAGUAUGAAUUUCAUCAGUCAGAUUUUUUCCAAGAUCAAUUUCAUAUAAUUUUCAUUGUUGCCUCAACCUCUUCGCUUUUCGUUCCCCCCGGAGUGCCUUAACAAUUUUGGUGGUGUUUCUCGUCGUCAUUUGAAGAUCAAAGAAGAGUUCCGCUUAAAUUUUGCCCGUUCUCUCGAAGAUUCGUGGUUCUAGCGUAAUAUUAUCCUCUCGAAUUAUUCCAUUUGUCAGAUAUUCUUUUCUUACCCAUUCGGAGUAUGUCAGGAGUUGUUUUUCCAUUUCUUUUCACCGGAGGCCAUCGUCCUAGAAGAAUUCUUCGUCCUCACAUUUCAGCUGUUGUUAUCCAAUUAUCCUGGUGCAUUGUUCAAGUGUUCUUUAAUCAACUCAUGAUCUCUUUGUUCUUUUGCAUCUAAAUCCCAUCAAGCAUAUUUGUUCUUCUAAUUCUUCCCGGUGAUUCAUUCUCUUUCAUCAGUCAUUUUCGAAUUCUUACGGCGGUUCGUUCAAGAUUCUUUUUCUUUGAUUAUCAUAUUAAUUCAUUCAUUCUUUCGAAUCCUACCGGUGGUUCAUGAAGACCUUCCUCAAGGUUGCGCCAUAUACCCCUCAAUCCUUUUCCAACAAGAAUAAGUAGUAUGCAAAAUCCAUUGCUUGUCAUCAAUUUAAUUUGAUGAAGGAUAAUCAUACAAUAAAUCUUAUUCUUAUUUCCUCGAAGUGAUUAAUCCCUUCUUUCGGAGUUUGUGCUUGACGAAUAAAUUCUAGUUCCAAGUGUUUUCAUCUCUCGCAAGGCUUUAUCUUGUUCUUUUCAACCUUCGUUUCUUGAAUCCUUUUGCUACCGGAGUUUUUCAUGAUGGUUCUUCAUGAUUUAAUUCAUUCUUCAAGAUUCUUGUUGGUGGAGUUCAAGUAUCAUUUCUUCUCGCGUCUCGAAGUGCAAAUAAUUCUCCAUAUUCUUUUGAAGUGGAGUUUUGCAUUUCUUCGUUCUUCUCGGAUAUUCAAUCAUUUGAUUGUGGUAUAAUUUCACCUCAAGUUUUGAGAUGUUUACAUAAGCCCGCGCAAGUCAAAUCUUUUGUUGUUGAUUCUUCAACUAUUUUGUUCAAGCCUUUCUCUCGAAGUCUCUUUCAAAUUCUGUUGUGGUAGAAGUUGCCAUCUUCUUCUCCGUUCUUUUCAUUCAAUUCUUUCAAAAAAAAUCCGGAGGCAUUUUGUUGUCCUCUCGUCAAGUAUCGUUCCAUCUUGUCAAGCUUAUGCUUUAUUCCAUUCCAUGUUCAACCGGAGUGCUGUCCAAAUUGUUUCAUUCUUUUCCCUUGGCUAUCUCAUUAUAUCAGUGUUGUUUCAUAUUCUUUUUGUUCAUUAAACUCUUGUUUCAUGCCUUACAACCUACAAGGUUCUCAUAAUGUUGCUUGUUCCUCUUCGGUAAAGGAGUUUCUCAAUCUCGUUCAUAUCCGUUGUGUUCUUUCUUUCAAGUUUUCAACUUCUCAAGAUUCUUUUGUUUCACUCUUUUCUGCAAGAAGAACCUUGUUCUCCCAAUUUUUCCCUUCCAUCUCGAUCCUAAGAUCUCGGGACGAGAUCUUCUGUUAGUGGAGGAGAGUUGUAACGCCCCGAGACUGAUGCUCCAGACGCCUUCCAUUUAGUUUCGUUGAUGUUGUGUGUUUCUUAUGUUUGUUGCAUUAUCAUAAUUGUUUUCCAUAUUUCAUUCCUAUAUGUUUAUGUCAUGAUCAUGUUGAGUGCCUUGUCAUAUAUUUUGCUUCUUGCAUCAUGUUCAUUAUUGAUUAUAGGAUGCCAUCCUUGUUGUUGCCAUGAUAAUUCUUGCUUUGCUAUGCUAGAUGAUUUGAUAUGCCUUGUGUCAUUUUAUUCCAUUCUAUCAUGAUCAUCAUGUGGGUUGCAUUCUUCAUGUUGAUGUGUUGUUGGUGUGCUGUCCAUCUUGAUCUUUUCCAUCAACAUUUUCCCCAAGUGCACAACCUAUCCUCUUCUUCAUCUAUUUCAAAGUUUGGCUUUCAUGUCAAGUGACAUUAUUUCCUGCCUCCAAUAAUGUUAAUUCUUUCCCUAAAAAUCCUGCACAUUGCCUACAUCCUCUCUGCAAAUUUUCAGCUCUUUUGAAAAUGUUUUGGCUGGGUUAAAAAAUGGCUCAAGUUUGAAUUUAGUUCAAACAUGAAUUAUUUUUCUAUCCUUAAAAAUGACCAAACCAUUUUAUUCAAAUCCUUAAUAAAUCUAGGGCCUCAGAUUUAUCCUUAUAUAUAUGAUUCUACUUCUACACCAAACCCUCUGAGAAUUUCUUCCAAGGUUCUAUUCAUUUUAUAAAUGGAUAAGUAGAACAAUAGAGGGGGAUAGAGAGUUCCAGCCAUCCCCUUCUUUUGGCCCAGCCCACGUAGAAAUGUAUCGAAGCGUUACAUUUCCUUCUUCCUCCUCACGGUAAAACUCCAGGGGCGUCGGUCACAUGGCCACCGAGGAUGCCCGAGCUCCACGUCAACGCCCAGCCCCUAUAAAUCCCCCUUGGCGUCCGAGCCCCUCCUUAGGGUUUCUCUCUUCCAUCCGCGCCACGGCCAGGUGAGUCUAGCCUCCAGAUCCAUCGCCCCCAAGCCCUCCCGAGCAAGUCAGAGAGCAAUUCUCGUCGCCGGCGUGCCCUCCGGCGAGCCCAGGCGAGUCCAUAGAGUCCAGGGGCUUCGUCUUCCUCGUCUACGUCGACUACCUCCCUCGAAUCAAGCCAGAGCCAUCGUCAAGCGUCGUCCCCUUCGUCUUCUUCCUACACGGCAGCUACUCGUCGCCGUUCGAAUUCGUCGCAUCUCC
rnacentral:lncRNA from 1 species